rnacentral:rRNA from 1 species
AGAACCCCGGCGAGGGGAGUGAAAAAGAACCUGAAACCGUGUACGUACAAGCAGUGGGAGCCCCACCACUAAGCCAGUGGUGAAUUCCACAUACGCAUCCUUUGCUGAGGAUACGGUUAACGGAGCGAAAGCGACGUUCAACCUCAAAAGAAGCAGAGGGGGCUUAGUGGUGGGGUGACUGCGUACCUUUUGUAUAAUGGGUCAGCGACUUAUAUUCUGUAGCAAGGUUAACCGAAUAGGGGAGCCGGAGGGAAACCGAGUCUUAAUUGGGCGUUAAGUUGCAGGGUAUAGACCCGAAACCCGGUGAUCUAGCCAUGGGCAGGUUGAAGGUUGGGUAACACUAACUGGAGGACCGAACCGACUAAUGUUGAAAAAUUAGCGGAUGACCUGUGGCUGGGGGUGAAAGGCCAAUCAAACCGGGAGAUAGCUGGUUCUCCCCGAAAGCUAUUUAGGUAGCGCCUCGUGAAUUCAUCUCCGGGGGUAGAGCACUGUUUCGGCUAGGGGGCCAUCCCGGCUUACCAACCCGAUGCAAACUGCGAAUACCGGAGAAUGUUAUCACGGGAGACACACGGCGGGUGCUAACGUCCGUCGUGAAGAGGGAAACAACCCAGACCGCCAGCUAAGGUCCCAAAGUCAUGGUUAAGUGGGAAACGAUGUGGGAAGGCCCAGACAGCCAGGAUGUUGGCUUAGAAGCAGCCAUCAUUUAAAGAAAGCGUAAUAGCUCACUGGUCGAGUCGGCCUGCGCGGAAGAUGUAACGGGGCUAAACCAUGCACCGAAGCUGCGGCAGCGAACGUAUCACUUAAAGCGAUUCAGCGGAUGACGAUUGACGGAGCGAAGCGACGUCAAAGCGUAUACAAAGUCGAGUCGGUUUAAGGAUACGUUCGUUGGGUAGGGGAGCGUUCUGUAAGCCUGUGAAGGUGGCCUGUGAGGGUUGCUGGAGGU